rnacentral:lncRNA from 1 species
GUUAUUUCGAACUUAUCGAAAUAACAGCCCGUUAUCGUUGGAUCGAGGUCGAACCUUUCUUUUUUUAUGGCGAAAGCCCUUGGCCUUGAAGGGUGUUAUUUCAAACUUAUCGAAAUAACAGUCCAUCGGCGUUCGAUCAAGGUCGAACCUUUCCUUUUUAUGGUGAAGGCCCUUGGCCUUGACGGGUGUUAUUUCGAACUUAUCGAUAUAACAGUCCAUCGUCAUUCGAUCGAGGUCAAACCUUUCUUUUUUGAUGGCGAAGGCCCUUGGCCUUGAAGGGUGAUAUUUUGAACUUAUCGAAAUAACGACCCGUCAUCUUUCGAUCGAGGUCGAACCUUUACUUUUUUUUGAUGGCUAAUGCCCUUAGCCUUGAAGUGUAUUAUUUAGAACUUAUCGAAAUAUCAGCCCGUCAUCGUUUGAUCGAGGUCGAAUCUUUUCUUUUUUGAUGGCGAAGGCCCUUGGCCAUAAAGGGUGUUAUUUCAAACUUAUCGAAAUAACAUCUCAUCAUCGCUCGAUCGAGGUCGAACCUUUGCUUUUUUGAUGGCGAGGGCCCUUGGCCUUGAAGGAUGUUAUUUCUAACCUAUCAAAAUAAUAGCCUGUCAUCAUUCGAUCGAGGUCGAACCUUAUCUUUUUUUUAUGACGAAGGCCUUUGGCCUUGAAAGGUGUUAUUUUGAACUUAUCGAAUAACGGCCCAUCGUCAUUCGAUAGAGGUCGAACCUUUUCUUUUUUUUUGAUGGCGAAGGCCCUUGGCCUUGAAGGGUGUUAAUUCGAACUUAUCAAUAUAACAGCCCGUCGUCGUUCGAUCGAGGUCGUACCUUUUCUUUUUUUGAUGGCGAAGGCCCUCGGCCUUGAAGGGUGUAAUUUCGAACUUAUAAAAAUAUUAGCCCGUCGUCGUUCGAUCGAGGUCGAACCUUUUCUUUUUUGAUUGCGAAGGACCUUGGCCUUGAAGGGUGUUAUUUCGAACUUAUCUAAAU